UACGUAGGUGGCAAGCGUUGUCCGGAUUUACUGGGCGUAAAGAGCGCGUAGGCGGUCGAUCAAGUCGAGUGUGAAAGCCCCCGGCUCAACUGGGGAGGGUCAUUCGAAACUGGUCGACUCGAAGGCAGGAGAGGGUAGUGGAAUUCCCGGUGUAGUGGUGAAAUGCGCAGAUAUCGGGAGGAACACCUAUGGCGAAGGCAGCUCGCUGGGACGUUACUGACGCUGAGACGCGAAAGCGUGGGGAGCAAACAGG
rnacentral:rRNA from 1 species